rnacentral:rRNA from 1 species
GAUGAACGCUGGCGGCGUGCCUAAUACAUGCAAGUCGAGCGAACAGACGAGGAGCUUGCUCCUCUGACGUUAGCGGCGGACGGUUGAGUAACACGUGGAUAACCUACCUAUAAGACUGGGAUAACUUCGGGAAACCGGAGCUAAUACCGGAUAACAUGUUGAACCGCAUGGUUCAACAGUGAAAGACGGUCUUGCUGUCACUUAUAGAUUGAUCCGCGCCGCAUUAGCUAGUUGGUAAGUUAACGGCUUACCAAGGAAACGAUUCGUAGCCGACCUGAGAGGGUGAUCGGCCACACUGGAACUGAGACACGGUCCAGACGCAUACGGGAGGCAGCAGUAGGGAAUCUGCCGCAAUGGGCGAAAUACUGACGGAGAAACGCCGCGUGAGUGAAGAAGGUCUUCGGAUCGGAAAACUCUGUUAUUAGGGAAGAACAAAUGUGUAAGUAACUAUGCACGUCUUGACGGUACCUAAUCAGAAAGCCACGGCUAACUACGUG